ACUGAGAACCCACGAGGAAAGCGGCAAUCGCGGAGGGGCGUGGAGAAGCCGGGAGUGGCCGAAACGGAUCCAUUUCAUGGCAGUAUGGGACCCGUUUUACUCGGUUGCGGGAACUUCGUGCGCAAAGUUCACAUGGCGUCCGUCAUCGGAGCCGAACUCUUCGUCGUCGUCGUCUAAGGUUUCAUGCAUUCCCGCUCCUGCCUUUUUCUCAGUGCGGCUUUCCUUCUCCAUUGGCAAUUUUUGCCCUUUCUCACGCAUGGAUAUCCUCGCAUUUAGGAUUGUUAGAGACUUUGUUCUCGUUCUUGGUUUUAUCCAACUGCUAGGCGAGUAGGAUCGUGAUGGCAGGAGCAUAAGUACGUUGGCUGCUUCAAAACUAGGGCUUUUUAACAUGGCUUAUGGAGUUUCCUUUUUGCCCUUUCGUAUGAUGGUUUGAAGUUAGGGUUUUGCCUUGGUUUUUAUAGAAAUUACCAAUUUCUAAAAGUUUGUGCUUUUUGAGUCCCAUUAUUUUGUUUCAUGUUAUCAACCAAGGUGCGAUUUUGCUUGUUAUUUUGACUGUAGUGUUUAUUCGGACGAUCUUAAGAGUAAUUUAUGGGCUAAAAGGAGCUCGAGCUCGACUUUCUUUUCUUUUUCCUUUUUUAUGUUGAAUGUAGGAUCUACGGCCACUCUGUUGCAAAGAUGGCGCCUGCUGUGGAAUGCGGGAAAUGCAAACGACGGGUCUCAUCUGAUAGGUCCAGUUCUCCUAUUAGUGAUCGUCAUUCCCCUCUCAGGUGGACCUCCUUUCGAAGAGAAAGAUCGCCUGCUUCUCAGAAUAGCUCUCCCAGAACUAGGUCACUGACUAGAAUUAAUUGAACUCAGUCUCCAGUGAAAGCAAAUGUGUCCGAUCGAGCUAGGUCAGCUAAACACAUGCGGCAGCUCAAGGCUAGUGCUUCACGCUCACUAUCAGCACAAACCAAUCGUUUGAAACGAGCUCAAGCUGAGAGGUCACUAGAUAGAGAGCAUGGGGGAAAAUUAGGCAGGGAAGAUCAUGAUAAAGGGAGGCACAAAAGACAUAUGGAGGUUAAAGAUUUUUCAAGGGAUAGGAAAUCAUUAAGAGAGAAGAAUGAUGGCGUUUCAUUAAAAUCAUCAAGGCGGGAUCAUUCAAAUUCCCCAAAAGGAUGAAUCCUUAGGAGCAGAUAUAGUUCUCAGCCCCUUACUAGGGCUUCGAAGCAAAAGCCAUCAUUUGAGCUGUCUGGGAAGCUUGCUGAGGAGACUAAUAGAGUUCAAGAUAAACAGAGCCUCUAUAUGUGCACCGGCAGAAUCUCUACCUUUGUGGUAGAGAAGAGGGGUUGCAGACAUCCCAACAGAUCAUUCAUCUUGUAGCAAACAACAUGCUGUUAUCCAGUAUAGGCUUGUUGAAAAGGAACAACCAAAUGGUUUAACAUCAAAACAAGUAAGGCCUUAUCUAAUGGAUCUUGGAAGUACAAAUGGGACAUUUAUAGAUACGUGCAGGAUAAUCAUAUUGAGCCACAACAUGAUAUUAUGAACUUGAAAAGGAUACUAUUAGGUUUGGCAACGCCAGGAAUAUGUAUCAUUACAUGAGAACCCGGGUUGUAAAGCCAAUCCUAAAGGAUUGUUGAUCUAACAAUCAGUCCGUUGAAAUUGCUGCAUUUGUUUUUGUUAUUGCUGGCUUAGCCAUUCUGGUGAGCAAAAUUUCUGAUGCUUUAGAGUGCACUGUUUUGUUCAGAUAAGAGCUAUUUUUGUAUAUGAUUUUGAUGAUACUGGAGUUUCUCUGAUGCCGAAUUCACAUUUAUUGUUUCUUUUUAUCAU